rnacentral:lncRNA from 1 species
AUGCAUUCGACGAACCCAAAUCUCCUCCACCACCAUCUCCCUCACCUCCAUACUACUACUAUUCACCACCUUACAAAUACUCCUCACCACCUCCACCACCUUACAAGUACUCAUCGCCUCCUCCACCACCUUACAAAUACUCAUCGCCUCCUCCACCACCUUAUAAGUACUCAUCGCCUCCGCCACCAUACAAAUACUACUCGCCACCUCCACCGCCCUACUAUGACCAUCCGUAUUAUUAUGAUCACUCUCCAUCUCCACCGCCUUAUAAAUACUCCUCACCUCCACCGCCAUAUAAGUACUACUCACCUCCACCACCUUACAAGUACUCAUCGCCUCCUCCGCCAGCAUACAAAUACUCAUGGUAUUCUCCGCCGCCAUACAAAUACUACUCGCCUCCUCCACCUCCCUACUAUUACAAGUCUCCACCUCCACCACCCUACUAUGACCAUCCUUAUUAUUAUGAUCACUCUCCAUCUCCACCGCCUUACAAAUACUCCUCACCUCCUCCACCUUACAAGUACGCCUCCCCUCCACCACCAUACAAAUACUCCUCGCCUCCUCCACCUCCCUACUAUUAACACUUCCGCAUACCCCUCUCCACCACCUUAUAAGUACUCCUCACCUACUCUACCACCAUGCAAAUACUACUCACCUCCUCCACUUUCUUACUAUUAUCACCAUCCACCUCCUCCGCCUUGCAAGGACUCAUCAC